rnacentral:rRNA from 1 species
CAGUCGCCGCGGGAAUACGAAGGGUGCAAGCGUUACUCGGAAUUACUGGGCGUAAAGCGUGCGUAGGCGGCUUUUUAAGUCGGAUGUGAAAUCCCUGAGCUUAACUUAGGAAUUGCAUUCGAUACUGGGAAGCUAGAGUAUGGGAGAGGAUGGUAGAAUUCCAGGUGUAGCGGUGAAAUGCGUAGAGAUCUGGAGGAAUACCGAUGGCGAAGGCAGCCAUCUGGCCUAAUACUGACGCUGAGGUACGAAAGCAUGGGGAGCAAACAGGAUUAGAUACCCGCGUAGUCCCUGUCUCUUAUAC